CCGCGGCGGUGCCACCGUCCCCGUCCGAGUGUCCCCAGCCCCGUGGCGGUGCCACCGCCCCUCCGUAUGUCCCCAGCCCCGCAGUGGUGCCACUGUCCCCGUCCGUGUGUCCCCAGCCCCGCGGCGGUGCCACUGCUCCCUGUCAGGUGUCCCCAGCCCCGUGGCAGUGCCACCGCUCCCUGCCGUGUGUCCCCAGCCCCGCGGCGGUGCCACCAUCCCCGGCUGAGUGUCCCCACCCCGCAGAGCCUGUUCGCGGGCGAGCUGGGGCUGCCCAUCGUGUGCGUGGGCUCGGUGUGGAACAGCUGGGAGCGCCUGCAGGAGGGGUUCAUCCGGGUGCUGGAGCAGGCGCGGCGCGCGGCCCGCGGGGAUUUCUCGCGGUUCAGCCUGCUGAAGCUGAAGCGCUCCUCGGCGCUGGGGGGAGCGCGGCUCGGGGCGCGCAGCGUGGGGGCGGCGCUGCCGCUGGAUCGCGCCAGCAACGUGGACGUGUUCUACACGCACGUGUUCUGAGAGCGGCGCCCCAGACACGGGACAGCGCCCCGAAACUGCCCCGGAGACACCCCGAAACUACCCCGGAGACACCACCCCAAACACGGCACUGCGCCCCAAAACUGCCCCUGGAGACACCACCCCCCAGAGACACUGCCCCAAACACGGGACAGCGCCCCAAAACUGCCCCGGAGACACCACCCCAAAACUGCCCCCGAAGCCGCCCCAAAACUGCCCCCGAAAACUGCCCGGAGCACUGCCCAACACGGACAGCGCCCCAAAACUGCCCCGGAGCCACCGCCCCGAAACUGCCCCUGGAGACACCACCCCAAACACGGCACUGCGCCCCAAAACUGCCCCCGGAGCUGCCCCAAAACUGCCCCUGGAGACAGUGCCCUGAAUACAGCACACCACCCCAAAACUGCCCCCGGAGACAGCGCCCCAAAAACGGGACAGCGCCCCAAAACUGCCCCUGGAGCUGCCCCAAAACUGCCCCCAGAGACAGUGCCCCUGAACACGGGACAGCGCCCCAAAACUGCCCCGGAGCCACCACUCCGAACACGGCACAGCACCCCGAAACUGCCCCCGGAGACAGCGCCCCAAACACGGGACAGUGCCCCAAAACUGCCCCCGGAGCUGCCCCAAAAACAGGACAGUGCCCUGAAACUGCCCCUGGAGCCGCCCCUCGGAUGGAGGGGGAGGGGUGGGGCUGUGGGGUGUGUGGGGUUUGUG
rnacentral:lncRNA from 1 species